UACGUAGGGGGCAAGCGUUGUCCGGAUUUACUGGGCGUAAAGAGCGCGCAGGCGGUCGUUCAAGUCGAGUGUGAAAGCCCCCGGCUCAACUGGGGAGGGUCACUCGAUACUGAUCGACUUGAAGGCGGGAGAGGGAAGCGGAAUUCCGGGUGUAGCGGUGGAAUGCGUAGAGAUCCGGAAGAACACCGGUGGCGAAGGCGGCCUGCUGGGCAGUGGCUGACGCUGAGGCGCGACAGCGUGGGGAGCAAACAGG
rnacentral:rRNA from 1 species